CAAUAGCGUAUAUUAAAGUUGUUGCAGUUAAAAAGCUCGUAGUUGGAUUUGUGGUUCGUCCCGCCGGCUGGGUCAUUGACCUUUGCUGUGCUGGUCGUCCAUCCUUGGGUGGAAUCUGUGUGGCAUUAGGUUGUCGCGCAGGGGAUGCCCAUCGUUUACUGUGAAAAAAUUAGAGUGUUCAAAGCAGGCUUAUGCCGUUGAAUAUAUUAGCAUGGAAUAAUGAUAUAGGACCUUGGUACUAUUUUGUUGGUUUGCGCACUGAGGUAAUGAUUAAUAGGGACAGUUGGGGGUAUUCGUAUUCCAUUGUAAGAGGUGAAAUUCUUGGAUUUUUGGAAGACGAACUACUGCGAAAGCAUUUACCAAGGAUGUUUUCAUUA
rnacentral:rRNA from 1 species